UGGGGAAUCUUCCGCAAUGGACGAAAGUCUGACGGAGCAACGCCGCGUGAGUGAUAACGGCCUUCGGGUUGUAAAGCUCUGUUAAUCGGGACGAAUGGUUCUUGUGCGAAUAGUGCAAGGAUUUGACGGUACCGGAAUAGAAAGCCACGGCUAACUACGUGCCAGCAGCCGCGGUAAUACGUAGGUGGCAAGCGUUGUCCGGAAUUAUUGGGCGUAAAGCGCGCGCAGGCGGAUUGGUCAGUCUGUCUUAAAAGUUCGGGGCUUAACCCCGUGAUGGGAUGGAAACUGCCAAUCUAGAGUAUCGGAGAGGAAAGUGGAAUUCCUAGUGUAGCGGUGAAAUGCGUAGAUAUUAGGAAGAACACCAGUGGCGAAGGCGACUUUCUGGACGAAAACUGACGCUGAGGCGCGAAAGCCAGGGGAGCGAACGGG
rnacentral:rRNA from 1 species